rnacentral:rRNA from 1 species
GGCGUGCUUACACAUGCAAGNNNNAACGAGAACGGUACUAGCGUGCUAGUAUGUCAGCUAAGUGGCGGACGGGUGAGUAAUGUAUAGUUAAUUUGCCCCUUGGAGAGGGAUAGCCACUGGAAACGGUGAUUAAUACCUCAUACUCCUUCUCUCUUAAUGAGAGUUGGGAAAUGUUUUUUCGCCAAGGGAUAAGACUAUAUGGUAUCAGGUAGUUGGUGGGGUAAGAGCCUACCAAGCCAAUGACGCCUAGCUGGUCUGAGAGGAUGAUCAGCCACACUGGAACUGAGACACGGUCCAGACUCCUACGGGAGGCAGCAGUGGGGAAUAUUGCACAAUGGAGGAAACUCUGAUGCAGCAACGCCGCGUGGAGGAUGACGCAUUUCGGUGUGUAAACUCCUUUUAUAUGGGAAGAUAAUGACGGUACCAUAUGAAUAAGCACCGGCUAACUCCGUGCCAGCAGCCGCGGUAAUACGGAGGGGCAAGCGUUACUCGGAAUCNCUGGGCGUAA